CCGCACGGGCUGAGGGCGUGAGGGCUCGGGAAUUUCCCCGGGUUCCGCCACAGCCCUCGCGCCAGCCAUUCUCGUUCUUCAAUUCUGAAAGCCACGUGAUUUCUGCACCUGAGACAUGCAGAAAAGCACCAUACACUCAUCAGUUCAGUUGGCCAUCUGAGGUGCUAAAAUUUCAACACCAAUGAAGCAAGUGUGCAUAAAAACAAACGGUAAAACACAACCAAACAGAAGA